rnacentral:rRNA from 1 species
GAUGAACGCUAGCUACAGGCUUAACACAUGCAAGUCGAGGGGAAACGCCAUUGAAGCUUGCUUCGAUGGUCGUCGACCGGCGCACGGGUGAGUAACGCGUAUCCAACCUGCCUCUGACCAAGGGAUAACCCGUCGAAAGUCGGCCUAAUACCUUAUGCAGUCGUCGGAAGUCAUCUGAUGACGACGAAAGAUUUCAUCGGUGAGAGAUGGGGAUGCGUCUGAUUAGCUUGUUGGCGGGGUAACGGCCCACCAAGGCAACGAUCAGUAGGGGUUCUGAGAGGAAGGUCCCCCACAUUGGAACUGAGACACGGUCCAAACUCCUACGGGAGGCAGCAGUGAGGAAUAUUGGUCAAGGGGCGAGAGCCUGAACCAGCCAAGUAGCGUGCAGGAUGACGGCCCUAUGGGUUGUAAACUGCUUUUAUGCGGGGAUAAAGUGAGGGACGUGUCCUUCAUUGCAGGUACCGCAUGAAUAAGGACCGGCUAAUUCCGUG